UUGUACCGAGGAGCGCUGCAACGGUCUAUCUCGUGAGGCUCGGACAAAUGAACAACCCAACAACGGCGCUCUUUCACU
rnacentral:ncRNA from 2 species